UUGAAGGAUUUGAAGACUUUACCUUGCAAACUUGAAGAAUUUAAAAAAUUCAACUUGCAUACUUAACUGAAUUUAAAGACUUCAAGC
rnacentral:pre_miRNA from 1 species